GAUUCUUAUUUGUACAAUUAUUUAUUUAUCCACUGAAAUAUACUUUCAAGUUAUUUUUAUUCCAUAAUCACGAGAUUCUUAUUUAUACAAUUAUUUAUUUAUCCACGACAUGUGUUUAUUUGUCUUGGUACUUCUUCAUCUCUGGCUUCAGAGCUUCAUACACUUCAUGCAUUAGUUUUUGGUCCUUCAAUUGAGUCGCGUAUAUGUCUAUAUCAGCUGAAGAUCAUUUGGUUCCAAGAUAAAAUAAAUAAUUAUCAUGAUAUUAGUAAGGAAGAGCAAAAUAAAAUGGAAUUUAUAAAGAAAUAGUGUAAUGUUGGAGAAAGAUAUAUAAAGAGAAUGAUAGAAAAACACCUUCCACAUAUUGAUAGUUUGAAUUCAUGGUAUAAUAUGUUUGAG
rnacentral:lncRNA from 1 species